rnacentral:rRNA from 1 species
GUACACUCCUGCGGGAGGCAGCAGUGGGGAAUAUUGCACAAUGGGCGCAAGCCUGAUGCAGCCAUGCCGCGUGUAUGAAGAAGGCCUUCGGGUUGUAAAGUACUUUCAGCGGGGAGGAAGGCGAUAAGGUUAAUAACCUUGUCGAUUGACGUUACCCGCAGAAGAAGCACCGGCUAACUCCGUGCCAGCAGCCGCGGUAAUACGGAGGGUGCAAGCGUUAAUCGGAAUUACUGGGCGUAAAGCGCACGCAGGCGGUCUGUCAAGUCGGAUGUGAAAUCCCCGGGCUCAACCUGGGAACUGCAUUCGAAACUGGCAGGCUAGAGUCUUGUAGAGGGGGGUAGAAUUCCAGGUGUAGCGGUGAAAUGCGUAGAGAUCUGGAGGAAUACCGGUGGCGAAGGCGGCCCCCUGGACAAAGACUGACGCUCAGGUGCGAAAGCGUGGGGAGCAAACAGGAUUAGAAACCCUAGUAGUCCCAUGA